rnacentral:lncRNA from 1 species
GUUGUUUAUGCUGUUGGUGGAGUCGGAUCAUUCGGAAUUCAAAUUCAGCAACUUAAACAUACAUUCUUGCAUUUUACCUGUCCAACACUGAACUCAUGGAGCACCGGUACAUAUCUAAUAACUUUGCAUUUAAUAAUUUAGUCAUUCAUAUCAUAUUUUAUAAGUAAUACUUCUAACCAUAUAUUUCAUGAUACAGUAACAUCACCUAUUUGAAGGAUUUGGAUUUGGCUCGCUGU